CCGCAGACAACAGGCACCUGCUGAGUGCCAGGCCCUGAGCACCGAGUGUGGGGUCGGCUCCCUCUGCCAGGGGCGUAGAGCCGCUCUCUGGAGCCAACACCAAAGCAGAAGAGCCCAGAAGCUAGAUCUGCCGUGACAGGUGCUCGGAUGCUGCCUAACUGGCCGCCUCAGCCCUCCCCAGCGUGGGUCCCGCGGACUCUGGCUGCCCGCCCCCCCCCCCAGAGGCCGGUGGGCUGUGCGUUCCCCAGGCGUUCCCAGGCCAGCUGCUGGCUCCGCUUCCCGCUUAGAGCCACCCUGGCCACGCGGACGCGGCCACCCAGGGUUCGCCGCGGGCCGGCGGCGGGGGCCAGCAGGAGGCAGCGGGGGCAGGCAGAGGGCAGGAGCGGGGCACGCGGGACGGACGGACGGACGGACGCUGCCACAGGACUCAGGAUCACCGGCAUCUUCCCGCCUUCGGGCCGUCCCGGCCCCUCCCGGGCGGGCAGCGGGGCCAAUUCCCACAGUGGGCUUGGGUAGGAAGGAGCCGGGCGGGCUGCCCCGCCGAGAGGCGCAGCCCCCGCCCGCCCUAUCCCCUCGAGCUCCGCCCUGCUCUCGACUCUCCGGACUUGGACAUGGCUGGAGAGCCCGGGCCGGGCCCUGCGCACCCGGGCCUCAAGCGGCCUCAGGGCACUGCCAGCCCCUGUACGAGUGAUUAUGACCUGGACCAUAAGCUGUACAGGGAAAAUGUCCCCUACAGGGUGUAUGAAUACCAAAGGAUCCCUCCACUCAUCAACCGCGUGCCUGUCAGGAUCCGGAGGACCCAGGUGGGCAUGGGGGUCAAAAGCAGCUUCCGUCUUCACACGGGCCCCAGGAAGAGCCACCUGCCCCGGGAGCAAAUAAAGCGGUCAGAGGACAGUGAAGAAAACAGAGGUCCAGAACUCCAGCAGGAGCCCCAGGGCCAGAAGGCCCAUCCAGAAGCAGACAGCUCUGAGGACAGCACAGACCCAAAGGAGGCAGUGAGUGGCCUGGCACCUCCCCCAUCCUCACCCUCCUUGCGUUUGGGUCCUUGUGGCUUCCCUGUGAACAAGGGAGAGACUCAGGUUUGUGCAGGAGCCCACAGUGGUGGCUGAGGGGACACAGGACUUCUGCCACAUGCAAUUCCCAGAAGAUGGCCCUGCACUGCUUUUUAUUCCCUCUCAUCUCGGGCUUGACGGCUCAGCUGGACUAGGGGCUAGUUCUGGGCUGAAAUACAAUCAUGUCCUGGAAGCUGGGAGGCGGGCUUUGAGCACUGCAGAAUGUCACAGGUGUGCCUCAUGGUCCCAGACCCCUUGCCAGAGGCCCCAGAAUCGGUUAAAACUGGCCUUUUUCCUGGCCCUGCUCCCACACAUUGUGGUGUACCAUGCUCCCCAGGGAAGCUGGAGCUCAUGGACCUUCCUGGACGGAAAACAUCCAAACCAGGAUGUGAUGGUCUGAUGAUAGCCCUUUGGGUAGCAUUCAAGGGCCCCAGUGUUCCCUGCCCUACCACAUUCUCCUCCCUUCUUGAUAAUCCGUGAGGUGGGCCAAGCCCCAUGUGUUUGGGCCACCUCUGCAAGGUCCAGGAUGCUGAGGGGCUGGCAGGAACAAGCUUCCCUUCCUCCACCUGUCUGGCUCCGCCCCCUGGACUGCUGGGCUCCGCAAAGUCCUUACUGCUGUCCAGGCCUGAGUCACAUCUGGGAAAAUAUUGGGCUGGAUGAAGGGACUGCUUUGGUGGUUCUGGGUUCCCAGGCCUCAGGAAGAAUCUAGAGUAGCACUGAGCGGGCAAACCUGCCGAGAAAGAGACACGGGGUUGAGGGGAGAUGUUGGCAGACAGGCUUCCCUUUCCUAGCCAUGCCAUGCCUCUCGGCCCUCCUGGCCAGAGUCCUGUUUCUCUAUUUCCUACAGGUGAAGAAUCCUGCAUCGGACCAGGAGGGCAGCCAGUAGAAUGGUGGAACCCCUCUGGGCUCCUUCCUGGAUGGCUCCCUUCCUUGCCUCGUGUGGGUUUUUGAAGGCCUCCUGGAGGUGCCUGUGCAGCCCGAAGCCACCCUUCUGGAAGGAGUGCAGUGAAGUGGGGGCCUGGCUCAGCCAAACUAGCCAUGAAGCUUCUCCGUAAUGGUGGCUUUUGGAGGUCACGUUUUCCGAUGAUACGGGCUGAGGGUGGCCUGCAGCUGCCUAGCAUAAGCCUCCCAUCCUCAUGAAGCUGAGGCCGUCUUGCAAGGGGCCCCAGGUCCCCCUGGGUACACAUCAGCCCCCAGUGACCACAGGUACCGUAGUGGCUGCUCCCCACUCCGAAGGGCCCUGCCAGUUCUGAGUAGGCAGCCAGCACAGUUCCCUCCAGCCACAGUGGCAUACCGGAAACCCUCAUGUUCCUACGGUCCCCCUUCCAGUCUGCACCUGGGCUUUCAGCUCCUCAGUGUGCCCCACAUAAUCCCCUUUGGUUCCAGACUCCCCAUCCACCCUGUAAAGCCAUCCUUCAGAAUAGGGACAUCAUUUUUAUGUUCUGCUCCUGUCUAGUCUCUUGCUAGUGUGAUACUAUGUGUUUCAGAUCUGCUCUGGAAAUAGUAUUGUAUCAAAAGGGAGAAAAUGGGGAUCCCUGGGUGGCGCAGCGGUUUGGCGCCUGCCUUUGGCCCAGGGCGCGAUCCCGGAGACCCGGGAUCGAAUCCCACAUCGGGUUCCCGGUGCAUGGAGCCUGCUUCUCCCUCUGCCUGUGUCUCUGCCUCUCUCUCUCUCUCUGUGACUAUCAUAAAUAAAUAAAAAUUAAAAAAAAAAAAAAAAAAAAAA
rnacentral:lncRNA from 12 species